rnacentral:tRNA from 1 species
CAGGGUGUGGGAAAGUCUGGCGUCCCGCGUGCCUCGGGAGCACGAGAUCGCUGGUUCAAAUCCAGCCAUCCUGA